CGUCGUACGCCUGUUGGGGGCAUAUAAAAUGUAUGUGGCUGUCGAACCCACCCGCCGUUACGAUCUGGCCCUCGCUGGCAAUGACAUCUGUGUUCGAGCCAACGAUCAUGUUCCGACUUACGCCUUCCAUUACGUCGGGAUUCCCCGCUUUGCCAAUACCGCAGAUAAGACCGUCUUUGAUCCCAAUGUCUGCCUUGAAUAUUCCCGUCCAAUCGAUCACCAGCGCGUUCGUGAUGACCGUGUCCAAGCAUUCCUUGUCGGCGAUGCCGACCAUCUGGCCCAUACCAUCACG
rnacentral:sRNA from 1 species